CCAAUAGCGUAUAUUAAAGUUGCUGCAGUUAAAAAGCUCGUAGUUGAAUUUCGGGACCAAUAUGUCGGUCGUGCUUUUGUACGUACUGAUAUAAUUGGUUUCUCCCUUCUGAAGAACCUUGAUGUCAUUAAUUUGGUGUCUUGGGGAAUCAGGACUGUUACUUUGAAAAAAUUAGAGUGUUUAAAGCAGGCUCGCGCUUGAAUACAUUAGCAUGGAAUAAUGAAAUAGGACGUUUGAUUCUAUUUUGUUGGUUUCUAGGAUCGACGUAAUGAUUAAUAGGGAUAGUUGGGGGCAUUAGUAUUCAAUUGUCAGAGGUGAAAUUCUUGGAUUUAUUGAAGACUAACUACUGCGAAAGCAUUUGCCAAGGAUGUUUUCAUUAAUCAAGAACGAAAGUUAGGGGAUCGAAGACGAUCAGAUACCGUCGUAGUCUUAACCAUAAACUAUGCCGACUAGGGAUCGGAUGAUGUUAAUUUUUUAAUGACUCAUUCGGCGCCUUACG
rnacentral:misc_RNA from 1 species